rnacentral:rRNA from 1 species
AUGGAUGAGAUAAUCAGUGAAGAGCAAAGCGCGUUUGUCCCAGGACAACUUAUAACUGACAAUGUUCUAGUUGCAUAUGAAAGUGUGCACACAAUGAGAAGGCGGAAGAAAGGGAAGAACUACGCUUGUGCAAUUAAACUAGACAUGAUGAAAGCCUACGAUCGUGUCGAGUGGCAUUUUCUUGAGGCCAUUCUCACAAAGUUGGGCUUCAACAUGGUCUUUGUCCGGUUGAUUAUGAAAUGCGUAUCCUCGAUACGCUUCUCGGUCAGGGUGAAUGGUGAGCGGUUGCCCUUCUUCACACCCUCGCGAGGGCUGAGACAAGGAGACCCAGCGUCACCUUUCCUUUUUCUGCUUUGUGCGGAGGGUUUCUCCUCUUUGCUGAAGUUUUACAAUAAUGGGUACAUCGACAGAGGCAUAAGAGUGAGCUACAGAUCGCUGUGGGUGUCACACUUGCUUUUCGCUGACGACAGUCUGAUCUUUGUCAGUGCUAACACCCAAAGUGCAGAAAGAUUGAAUGGCAUCUUGAUGAUUUAUGGGGAAUCAUCGGGGCAGUGUGUUAAUCGGGCCAAGAGCGCCAUAUACUUCAGCUCUAACACUCCGGUCCAGCUCAAGCAGCAGCUAAAAUCGGUCCUCAACAUCGACGUCGAGGCCUUUAGCGAGCGUUACCUGGGGAUGCCCACAGCGGUCGACCGUAUCACGAGCGGUACUUUCGACCACAUCGGGGAGAGAGCUUGCGGGAAUUCAGGGAUGGUCUGA